UACGGAGGGGGCUAGCGUUGUUCGGAUUUACUGGGCGUAAAGGGCGCGUAGGCGGUCGUGACAAGUCACUUGUGAAAUCUCCGGGCUUAACUCGGAACGGUCAAGUGAUACUGUCGGACUAGAGUACAGAAGGGGCAACUGGAAUUCUCGGUGUAGCGGUGAAAUGCGUAGAUAUCGAGAGGAACACCUGCGGCGAAGGCGGGUUGCUGGGCUGAUACUGACGCUGAGGCGCGGAA
rnacentral:rRNA from 1 species